rnacentral:rRNA from 1 species
GCAUAUGGGCUUGAACUUGAGAAUGUCCGAACUCAUUUGAUCUCGGAAGCUAAGCAGGGUUGGGCCUGGUUUGUGUGGGAGAACACUGGGAAUACCAGGUACUGCAUCGGCU